GUGAAUCAUCAAAUUUUUGAACGCAAAUUGCACUCUCCUCGGAGAGUAUGCCUGUUUGAGUGUCAGCGUAUGAAAAAUCGACAUCGGGGCUGUUUCGCGGUGUCGGUCGUCGGGAAUUGGGUCAUCUUAGAUCUUUUGGUUGUAAGCGACUUAAAAUUUUUGUUUGGUUUCCAUGAACGGUUCUAAGAUGUAUUUAUGUACAUGUUUGAUGUAUCGUUUUUUAUUAGAUGUUACCC
rnacentral:misc_RNA from 1 species